UACGGGAGGCAGUAGUGGGGAAUAUUGCACAAUGGACGCAAGCCUGAUGCAGCCAUGCCGCGUGUAUGAAAAGGCCUUCGGGUUGUAAAGUACUUUCAGUCGUGAGGAAGGUGUUAAGGUUAAUAACCUUAGCAAUUGACGUUAGCGACAGAAGAAGCACCGGCUAACUCCGUGCCAGCAGCCGCGGUAAUACGGAGGGUGCGAGCGUUAAUCGGAAUUACUGGGCGUAAAGGGCACGCAGGCGGUUAAUUAAGUUGGAUGUGAAAUCCCCGGGCUUAACCUGGGAAUGGCAUUCAAGACUGGUUAGCUAGAGUCUUGUAGAGGGGGUAGAAUUCCAUGUGUAGCGGUGAAAUGCGUAGAGAUGUGGAGGAAUACCGGUGGCGAAGGCGGCCCCUGGACAAAGACUGACGCUCAUGUGCGAAAGCGUGGGGAGCAAACAGGGAUUAGAUACC
rnacentral:rRNA from 1 species